rnacentral:rRNA from 1 species
GCUUGGCCCUAAACACAGAUAUGUUAAUACAACACUAUCCGCCAGAGAACUACAAGCGAAAAGCUAGAAACUCCAAGGACUUGGCGGUGCUUCAAAUCAACCUAGAGGAGCCUGUCCUAUAAUCGAUACUCCACGCUCAACCUUACCCCCGCUAGCCAACCAGCCUAUAUACCGCCGUCGUAAGCCUACCUUAUGAAAGAAACAAAGUAGGCAAAAGAGCCAUCAGCUAAUACGUCAGGUCAAGGUGUAGCACAUGCAAGGGACAGAGAUGGGCUACAUUUUCAAAACGAACACACGAAUAGCGCGUUGAAACAUGCGCUUAAAGGCGGAUUUAGUAGUAAGAUAGGUAAGAAAAACUAUCUGAAACCUGCUCUGAAGCGCGC